UAGUCAACUACCCGCGGUGGAAGACAGGGGAGUGGUCUCCCCUGUCGUGUGUCUCCGUCCCUCCACCACACAGCGCCGUGGCCGCCACCACCGCCGCCACCUCCCGCUCCUCCCGACCCUCGUCCGCGGUGUCUACGGGAGACGAGGCGACGCUCCCCGCCGGUGGCGGCAGCGCCUCCAUCAGCUUGAUGGCGGCCAUAGCGGUGCUGGCGAUCCUCCCCUUCGUGGUGUGCACCACGUGGGGCACACGGAGUGCCGGCAAACGUGGCGCGGACGAGCAAGGAGGGAGCUCCCCGAGCCUGGUGCCUGAGAGAGAUGCCGUCUCUGCCGAGUGCAGCGACGAGGAGGCCGCCACGGCGCGGAUGACAGAGCGGCACGCGGAGACGGAGGUGUAAGAGGAGAAGAGGUGGAGGAUGAGGUGUCAAGAGUCGGAGUCGGAAGUUUGUGUGUUUGUGGGCAAAGCGGCCACUGUAGUAGUACCGUCCUUGUUGCUGUUGUUAUAUUGAUGGUGAAAAGUUAUUUACCACCCACCCCCCUCACCCCGACUUUAUAUUGAAGCUUUUAGUUGUGUGAUGUCCGGUACUCACACAGAGACCCAAAGACUCGCCACACAGAGACCCACAGAGUCACCACACAGAGACCCACAGACUCACCACACAGAGACCCACAGACUCACCACACAGAGACCCAUAGACUCACCACUCAGAGACCCACAGACUCACCACUCAGAGACCCACAGACUCACCACACAGAGACCCAUAGACUCACCACUCAGAGACCCACAGACUCACCACUCAGAGACCCACAGACUCACCACACAGAGACCCACAGACUCACCACACAGAGACCCAUAGACUCACCACUCAGAGACCCAC